UACGUAGGUGGCAAGCGUUGUCCGGAUUUACUGGGCGUAAAGAGCGCGCAGGCGGUCGUUCAAGUCGCGUGUGAAAGCCCCCGGCUCAACUGGGGAGGGUCACGCGAUACUGAUCGACUCGAAGGCAGGAGAGGGUAGUGGAAUUCCCGGUGUAGUGGUGAAAUGCGUAGAUAUCGGGAGGAACACCGGUGGCGAAGGCGGUUCUCUGGGCAUGACCUGACGCUGAGGAGCGAAAGCGUGGGGAGCAAACAGG
rnacentral:rRNA from 1 species